CUAGCAUUCAUAAGCGGAGGAAAAGAAACUAACAAGGAUUCCCCUAGUAACUGCGAGUGAAGAGGGAAAAGCUCAAAUUUAAAAUCUGGCUGUCUUUGACUGUCCGAGUUGUAAUUUAGAGAAGUGUUACCCGCGUUGGACCGUGUAUAAGUCUCCUGGAAUGGAGCGUCAUAGAGGGUGAGAAUCCCGUCUUUGACACGGACUACCAAGGCUUUGUGGUGCGCUCUCAAAGAGUCGUGUUGUUUGGGAAUGCAGCACUAAAUGGGUGGUAAAUUCCAUCUAAAGCUAAAUAUUGGCGAGAGACCGAUAGCGAACAAGUACCGUGAGGGAAAGAUGAAAAGAACUUUGGAAAGAGAGUUAAACAGUACGUGAAAUUGCUGAAAGGGAAACGCUUGAAGUCAGUCGCGUUUUCUAGGGAUCAACCUUGCUUUUGUGGGGUGUACUUCCUAGUCAACGGGUCAACAUCAGUUUUGAUUGUUGGAAAAAGGCUAGUUGAAUGUGGCAUCUCCGGAUGUGUUAUAGCUUCUAGUCAUAUACAACAGUUGGGACUGAGGAACUCAGCACGCCGCAAGGCCGGGUUUUUAACCACGUUCGUGCUUAGGAUGUUGGCAUAAUGGCUUUAAGCGACCCGUCUUGAAACACGGACCAAGGAGUCUAACAUGCCUGCGAGUGUUUGGGUGGAAAACCCGAGCGCGUAAUGAAAGUGAAAGUUGAGAUCCCUGUCGUGGGGAGCAUCGACGCCCAUACCAGACCUUUUGUGACGGAUAUGCGGUUGAGCAUGUAUGUUGGGACCCGAAAGAUGGUGAACUAUGCCUGAAUAGGGUGAAGCCAGAGGAAACUCUGGUGGAGGCUCGUAGCGAUUCUGACGUGCAAAUCGAUCGUCGAAUUUGGGUAUAGGGCGAAAGACUAA
rnacentral:rRNA from 1 species